AGAAAAAGAGAGGCUACUCGGAUAAAAGCACAGUCCAGGAUCAACAUUGGCCCGGCUUUCACUCGCUGGCGUGAGCUGAAAGAUCAGGAGGGAUUUCCGACCGACGCUGCCUUGGCUCUGUUCCUGCUGGACUACUAUCAAAAGGAGCAAGUAACUUCUACUCCCCACAAGCAACACCUCCAACCACUGCAGCAUAUAGUUUCCAGCAUAACAGAAGAGGUCGGACCAUGAUAGGGGAGAACUGAUAGAGGGUGUCCAAAUCCUGGAAGAAGGCACUGGGGCAGAAGAAGCUGGUGUAUUAGAGGCCAGGUCCCAUGCUGUUUGCUCAUGGGCUCAGGCACAUUGCACAGGACUCACAUGGAACAGUAUGCUGAGUGGUGCAGGACAGAAGGGGAGGGACUUCUGUCACAAACAGUGCAUCACAGCUCAGACGGGCUGGUGCAGCCAGAGACCAGUCUGAAAUCUUGCCUUGGAUUAAAGACAUUGUGAACCAUUUCUGGUACUGUGCCAAGCAGGCAUCCACUGUCGAGCAGUUCAAGAUGAAAUGGCAUGCUGUAAUUCAUCACAUUCGGAACCAGCACACAUGGGCCACUGGAUCUUGUGAGCAUGAGCCACUGGGUGAAGAUAUACAGGAAAAACCAUGGAUAAAACAAGGUUCAGCAGCUCACCAGGCUCUUGUAGCCAUCGUCCUGGAGAAGCGAUGAUUGAAGAAUGUUGUGAAGUUCAUCAACUUCAGGACAACAUCCGAUCUGGAAAGCUUCCAGAAUCACAUACUCAUGUACGCAGGAAAGCGGUUCUCCUAUA